UUGAACGCUGGCGGCAUGCUUUACACAUGCAAGUCGGACGGCAGCACAGAGAAGCUUGCUUCUUGGGUGGCGAGUGGCGAACGGGUGAGUAAUAUAUCGGAACGUACCGAGUAAUGGGGGAUAACUAAUCGAAAGAUUAGCUAAUACCGCAUAUUCUCUGAGGAGGAAAGCAGGGGACCUUCGGGCCUUGCGUUAUUCGAGCGGCCGAUAUCUGAUUAGCUAGUUGGUGGGGUAAAGGCCUACCAAGGCGACGAUCAGUAGCGGGUCUGAGAGGAUGAUCCGCCACACUGGGACUGAGACACGGCCCAGACUCCUACGGGAGGCAGCAGUGGGGAAUUUUGGACAAUGGGCGCAAGCCUGAUCCAGCCAUGCCGCGUGUCUGAAGAAGGCCUUCGGGUUGUAAAGGACUUUUGUCAGGGAAGAAAAGGCUGUUGCUAAUAUCGACAGCUGAUGACGGUACCUGAAGAAUAAGCACCGGCUAACUACGUG
rnacentral:rRNA from 1 species